GUUAAUACAUGGCAAACUUAUAUUUUUCCAUUGUUAUUGUGAAUCAUGUUAUGGUACCUCUAUCUAAUGAGAUAACUUUCAAAUUUGUUGUUUGAUUUUUCCACUAUAGAAUGAACUAGGGUAGAGUAUGGCUCCAAAGUGGUGAUUUAUCUUGCUUGAAGAGUUGUUGUGAUUCUCACUCCUACUUUACAAUAGUUAAAACUUGGAAGGCUUGGUGUGUUAGAGAUCAGAAUGUCAAGGUUGUUCGAGUAUAUUGAGAGGCCAAUACUGUGGUUGACAGCGUGGAAUUUGUGAAAGUGGAUAAUUAACAAAAGCGGUGGUGACGUUGAGGUGGAGAUCCAAGAGGACGAUUUGGAAUUUGGUAAGCUCCCCAAAAUCUAAUCGCAUCUUUUAGAAGAUGUGGGACGAACGGAUUGUGGGAAAGUAUAUCUGGCUUGUGGUUGUCAACAAAAUUGUUAGAACAAAAUUUGGCACUAGGUAAAGGUUCAUCACUUCCUUUUAAGUAUGUGGCACCUUUUAAUGCCGUAGAACAGCAUAUUUUUUGGGAUAUAUAUUAAAGAUAAGAUUUUUCCUUAAA